UACGUAGGGUGCGAGCGUUAAUCGGAAUUACUGGGCGUAAAGCGUGCGCAGGCGGUUUUGUAAGUCUGACGUGAAAUCCCCGGGCUUAACCUGGGAAUUGCGUUGGAGACUGCAAGGCUGGAGUCUGGCAGAGGGGGGUAGAAUUCCACGUGUAGCAGUGAAAUGCGUAGAGAUGUGGAGGAACACCGAUGGCGAAGGCAGCCCCCUGGACCUGUACUGACGCUCAUGCACGAAAGCGUGGGGAGCAAACAGG
rnacentral:rRNA from 1 species